CCUACGGGAGGCAGCAGUCGAGAAUAUUGGUCAAUGGGGGAAACCCUGAACCAGCGACGCCGCGUGCGGGAAGAAGGCCUUCGGGUCGUAAACCGCUUUUAUUUGGGAACAAUCCCGAGAGCAAUCGAGGGAUGAGCGUACCUUAGAAUAAGGGAGCCUAACUAUUGCG
rnacentral:rRNA from 1 species